CGAAUGACAGAUGACGAAAGCACGAAAGGAGCAAUCCCACUGUGACGCUUUGCUGUCAUUUGGCUGCGCUCUGGCCAUUACAGCGGCUAUCAUUUUCUGGAGUUGGACCUGUGCACCACUUCCAAGCGAAUAUAAAGGACGGGGAAGAUGCUUCGGGGUGGCACCUGGGGUGGCCAGUCUGGUUGGGGGGGGUGGCCUGGACACGCCACUGAGCCAAGCAUAAUUAUUCACCUCUCGUGUGUGGAAGGAAGUCUGUGGAGUGCUCAGUCUUUUAUCCCCAGUUUCAUCCCUAGACUAAUGGAAAAACUGAGCAUCCUAACCACCUGCACUGAGGCCGCUCUUUGCUGUGUUGCAUCAUCCAAGCAGUCAACAUGGAGAUCUCACCUGCCCUGGGUUGAAUAUACACACAACCACAUGACAUCAUCUACAACUCUGCUGUCCCUGUUUGCAUCCCCAGUCUGCUACCAACCUCUACUUUCUCCAGAUGCUCUUUGUUUCCUCUGUACAGGAUAUCCAUCAUUUCCAUGUCCCCCAGCUGAAGCAUCAAAUGGCGUGAGAGAUGCUUGGUGGACUGUGAAGGGUAUGGCCUGGUUGCUCCAACCUGGACAAACAUUACAACUUUGUAUAAUCUGAAGACUCCAUACAUUUUGAUGUCAUUACUUCAGCUUCAUUUCUGAGAAAUCUGGUGUUGUCUGAUGAUCAAAACUAAAACCCUUGAAACUGGUCUUGUGCAUAAACAGCUGCAGAAAUAAAAAAAAAAAACACGGAUUAUGAUUGUGUUUUAAGAUAUAACAAUAAAGCUUAGCUUCCACCCACUCGUAGUGGCCAUGGAUGAGAAAGACACAAACCAUGUAAACACAAUUUUCUUACCCUCUAAAAAAUGCCUUCUUUGUAAAAAGUGCAGUGGAAAGGGGAGAGAGUCAUUAGUCCCCUCAUAA